GUACUAAUGAAGAGUCCCAGACUAGGACGAAACAGGUGCCCAGUAC
rfam:Trichobilharzia regenti genome assembly, scaffold: TRE_scaffold0064591